ACGGGAGGCAGCAGUGGGGAAUAUUGCACAAUGGGCGAAAGCCUGACGCAGCGACGCCGCGUGAGUGAAGAAGUAUUUCGGUAUGUAAAGCUCUAUCAGCAGGGAAGAAAAAUGACGGUACCUGACUAAGAAGCACCGGCUAAAUACGUGCCAGCAGCCGCGGUAAUACGUAUGGUGCAAGCGUUAUCCGGAUUUACUGGGUGUAAAGGGAGCGCAGGCGGUACGGCAAGUCUGAUGUGAAAGCCCGGGGCUCAACCCCGGUACUGCAUUGGAAACUGUCGAACUAGAGUGUCGGAGGGGUAAGCGGAGUUCCUAGUGUAGCGGUGAAAUGCGUAGAUAUUAGGAGGAACACCAGUGGCGAAGGCGGCUUACUGGACGAUAACUGACGCUGAGGCUCGAAAGCGUGGGGAGCAAACAGGAUUAGAUACCCUGGUA
rnacentral:rRNA from 1 species